rnacentral:rRNA from 1 species
AACGAACGCUGGCGGCAGGCCUAACACAUGCAAGUCGAGCGCCCCGCCAGGGGAGCGGCGGACGGGUGAGUAACGCGUGGGGAUAUGCCCUUUGCUACGGAAUAGUCUCGGGAAACUGGGGGUAAUACCGUAUACGCCCUUUGGGGGAAAGAUUUAUCGGCGAAGGAUUAGCCCGCGUUGGAUUAGGUAGUUGGUGGGGUAAUGGCCUACCAAGCCGACGAUCCAUAGCUGGUUUGAGAGGAUGAUCAGCCACACUGGGACUGAGACACGGCCCAGACUCCUACGGGAGGCAGCAGUGGGGAAUCUUAGACAAUGGGGGCAACCCUGAUCUAGCCAUGCCGCGUGAGUGAUGAAGGCCUUAGGGUUGUAAAGCUCUUUCAGCUGGGAAGAUAAUGACGGUACCAGCAGAAGAAGCCCCGGCUAACUCCGUG